rnacentral:misc_RNA from 1 species
GAAAUGCGAUAAGUAGUGUGAAUUGCAGAAUUCAGUGAAUCAUCGAAUCUUUGAACGCACAUUGCGCCCUAUGGUAUUCCGUAGGGCAUGCCUGUUCGAGCGUCAUUUACACCUUCAAGCCUUGCUUGGUGUUGGGUGACUGUGGCCCCUUUCGGGCCACUCGCCUUAAAGUCAUUGGCGGCCGGUUCGUUGGCUUUGUAGCGCAGCACAAUUGCGUCCUCGAAGCCGCUGGACCAGCUCCCAGAAGCUAAUUUUAAAUGUUUGACCUCGAAUCAGGUAGGGAUACCCGCUGAACUUAAGC